GUCUUGUUUGCAGAUUUGCAGUGAACGGUCGUUUGACGACAUAUUUUAGGUUUGGCCGUGAGUUUACAACAGAAACUAUCUUGUGCGAUCGUUUCUGCAUCGCAGCACGAUGUCGUAGUCAAUCUGGGCCGAUGUGGUGCCCUGAACAGUGCUUCCUGCUAGUGGCGGGAACGUCCGACGUCCGAUAAGAUCAUUUGGUGGGGCACCUGCAGUAGCGACUUCGUCCAGGAGUAUGAACGACAUCUGGGCGCGGUAAACUCGAUCACCUUGAACGACUAAAACCAGCUCUUGACGACCUCCGACGACGGCAUGGAUUGGCGUCGUCAAAGUCUACAUCUGUUUCACGACCUGUACGAGCAGCUGAGUGCCUACCUAAGCUGGUCCGAAUCCACCUGGAGGUUUUACUGGUUUAAUACUGGUUCUUUUGCAGACCAACAGUAUCGCCGUGCGCUGAUUCUUGAGUUUCUCUUGCUCCUCGCGGAUACGAAUAGUUUCGUGGAGGGAGGUCCACUGUUGAAUCUGGACCACCGCGAGGACAGCAUCGCCUAUGCUGGCGGAGUUCUUCAAGGACGGGCAACUCCAAGUUGAACAUUCCCGAGCCCGACCCCAUCGAAGGGACUCUUCCGCGCGGUGAAGUGACCGGUUACGAUUGGUUCAACAUGAUACCCAAAAAGAUGAAUCACCGACACAAGUCCUAAGGUCUGCAAAGUGCUGCUGCUGUUCCGUCUGCACCAGAUCAACAACCACCAUCUUCAAGCUGAACAUGGCCACCAAGAAAAUGCUGCGCAUCGCCGAUCCGUACUUCACUUACGGCUUCUUCUCACUCUAGUCGAUCCGCGACCUGGUCUAAAAGCGUGACUCCGUCAAGCACCGACAUUGCUGCAUCACAAUCACGGCCAAGAUCGAGCGCUGAACGCACUCAACCAGCUGGGCAGCAUUCAGAGAAAGAUCAACAUUCGCGCACUGGUCCCACCCCGCGGCACAUUUGUCCCGCAGCCUCCUUAGUUCGAUAUGAUUUUGUACAAUUAAUUGAAUAAAAUCCUGUUUUUCUGUUGA